rnacentral:rRNA from 1 species
CCUACGGGGGGCAGCAGUGAGGAAUAUUGGUCAAUGGACGAGAGUCUGAACCAGCCAAGUAGCGUGAAGGAUGACUGCCCUAUGGGUUGUAAACUUCUUUUAUAAAGGAAUAAAACGAGGCACGUGUGCCUUUUUGCAUGUACUUUUUGAAUAAGGAUCGGCGAACUCCGUGCCAGCAGCCGCGGUAAUACGGAGGAUCCGAGCGUUAUCCGGAUUGAUUGGGUUUAAAGGGAGCGUAGAUGGGUUGUUAAGUCAGUUGUGAAAGUUUGCGGCUCAACCGUAAAAUUGCAAUUGAUACUGGCAGUCUUGAGUACAGUUGAGGUAGGCGGAAUUCGUGGUGUAGCGGUGAAAUGCUUAGAUAUCACGAAGAACCCCGAUUGCGAAGGCAGCUUACUAAACUGUGACUGACAUUGAUGCUCGAAAGUGUGGGUAUCAAACAGGAUUAGAUACCCCGGUAGUC